rnacentral:rRNA from 1 species
UACGUAGGUGGCGAGCGUUGUCCGGAAUCAUUGGGCGUAAAGAGCGCGUAGGUGGUUUGUCAGGUCCGAUGUGAAAACCUGGGGCUUAACUCCAGGCCUGCAUUGGAAACCGGCUUGCUAGAGUCUGGGAGAGGAGAGUGGAAUUCCUGGUGUAGCGGUGAAAUGCGUAGAUAUCAGGAGGAACACCGGUAGCGAAGGCGGCUCUCUGGAACAGUACUGACGCUGAGGCGCGAAAGCUAGGGGAGCGAACAGG